GACAUGCACUAGACGCCGGUAGAGAUAUCGGGUUCCCCUUGUGGUUGGUGUGCAGGUGGUGCAUGGCUGCCGUCAGCUCGUGUCGUGAGAUGUUGGGUUAAGUCCCGCAACGAGCGCAACCCUCGUUCCAUGUUGCCAGCGGGUUAUGCCGGGGACUCAUGGGAGACUGCCGGGGUCAACUCGGAGGAAGGUGGGGAUGACGUCAAGUCAUCAUGCCCCUUAUGUCCAGGGCUUCACACAUGCUACAAUGGCCAGUACAGAGGGCUGCGAGACCGUGAGGUGGAGCGAAUCCCUUAAAGCUGGUCUCAGUUCGGAUCGGGGUCUGCAACUCGACCCCGUGAAGUUGGAGUCGCUAGUAAUCGCGGAUCAGCAUUGCUGCGGUGAAUACGUUCCCGGGCCUUGUACACACCGCCCGUCACGUCAUGAAAGUUGGUAACACCCGAAGCCGACGGCCUAACCCGUGAGGGAGGGAGUUGUCGAAGGUGGGACUGGCGAUUGGGACGAAGUCGUAACAAGGUAGGCGUAGAUGA
rnacentral:rRNA from 1 species